GACAGCUUGAAGGGUCUUGGUGUUCAUUGCCAAUUGAACUUCCAUGGUGGCAGUGCCAGCUGCUCCUGCAAGUCCUGGUGGGAACACGAGAACUUUGCCUGUGCUUCGGAAAUGGUCCUCGGGGGUCCCCAGUUGAGACUCAGCCAGGAGAGCUGGGAGCUUGGGUCAAUAACCCACAACUCUCUCAGCCCUGGCUGGAUCCAUUGCCUCCUCCCAAUGGGGAGGUAUGCAGCUGCCCCUGCGGAGCGAGGGAAGUGUGUGCUGAAGCUGACCAAGUACGGUUAGGCUCUGCCUCUGCCAGAGGACACGCCACCCUCCUCCUCCCACAGCUUGUGAGUGCUCUUCCAGGUAGGAGGGCCGGUGCUGAGACUGAUCCAUGGGCAGACAACAGCUGAGCUGGGCUGGGGCCCAGGCUGGGCUGGGAGUGGAGCAGGAUAGUGAGGCUCUGAAUGAUGAGUUAGAGAGGCUCAGCUUGCUCUGGAUUGUGACUCUAAGAGGCUGAAGGUCUUCCAGAAAAUUACUUCCUCUCUUUGAGCCUUAGUUUUUCCAUAUGAAAAAAAGAAAAAAAAAUGAAAAGAAAAGAAGAAAAGAAGGAAGGGGAGAGAGAAAGAGAAAGAAAGAAAGAAAAAGAAAGAAAGAAAGAAGAGAAAGAAAGAAAGAAGAAAAGAAAAGAAAAAGAAAAGAAGGACGGAGGGAGGAAGGAAUGAAGAUUUUAAAAAUCUAAUCUUAGCUCCUUUUAGAAGCUAAGAGGGCAUAAUGAAAUAAUACCGUAUAAAAGUAUAAAGUAGGGGC
rnacentral:lncRNA from 10 species